rnacentral:rRNA from 1 species
UGAAUACGAGACGCUAAGGCGUCGAAGUAGUGUAUGUCAUACUUCCAAGAAAAGCUUGCACUGUCAUAGAUAAAAAACGCCUGUACCAUAACCGACACAGGUGGGUAGGUAGAGUAUACUAAGGGGCGCGAGAUAACUCUCUCUAAGGAACUCGGCAAAAUAACUCCGUAACUUCGGGAGAAGGAGUGCCUUAUUCGUAAGGUUGCAAUAACAAGAUCCAAGCAACUGUUUAUCAAAAACACAGGUCUCCGCUAAGUCGUAAGACGAUGUAUGGGGGCUGACGCCUGCCCAGUGCCAGAAGGUUAAAGAAGUUGGUUAGCAAUUGCGAAGCUGAUAACUGAAGCCCUGGUGAACGGCGGCCGUAACCAUAACGGUCCUAAGGUAGCGAAAUUCCUUGUCGGGUAAGUUCCGACCCGCACGAAAGGCGUAAUGAUUUGGAUACUGUCUCGGAGAGGGGCUCGGUGAAAUAGACUUGUCUGUGAAGAUGCGGACUACCUGCACCAGGACAGAAAGACCCUAUGAAGCUUUACUGUAACUUGAAAUUGAAAUUGGACUUUAUUCGCGCAGUAUAGGUGGGAGGCGUUGAUUAUAAUCUUGUGGGAUUAUUGGAGCCAUCAGUGAGAUACCACUCUUGUAAUGUUAGAUUUCUAACUUUGAAUCAUUAUCUGGUCAAAGAACAGUUUCAGGCGGGCAGUUUGACUGGGGCGGUCGCCUCCUAAACGGUAACGGAGGCGUACAAAGGUUUCCUCUGAACGGUUAGAAAUCGUAUCUAGAGUGUAAAGGCAUAAGGAAGCUUGACUGUGAGACCUACAAGUCGAGCAGGGACGAAAGUCGGUCUUAGUGAUCUGACGGUACUGAGUGGAAAGGCCGUCACUCAACGGAUAAAAGUUACUCUAAGGAUAACAGGCUGAUCUCCCCCAAGAGUUCACAUCGACGGGGAGGUUUGGCACCUCGAUGUCGGCUCAUCGCAUCCUGGGGCGGUAGUACGUCCCAAGGGUUGGGCUGUUCGCCCAUGAAAGCGGUACGCGAGCUGGGUUCAGAACGUCGUGAGACAGUUCGGUCCAUAUCCGGUGUAGGCGUUAGAAUAUUGAGAGGAGCCUUCUUUAGUACGAGAGGACCGAGAAGGACAUACCUCUGGUGUACCAGUUAUCGUGCCAACGGUAAACGCUGGGUAGCUAUGUAUGGAGUGGAUAACCGCUGAAAGCAUCUAAGUGGGAAGCCCACCUCAAGAUAAGUAUUCUCAUC